rnacentral:lncRNA from 1 species
CCUCAUCGUCCAUGCGUUAGCUUGUGGUAAUAUACUCUUAGAGUUAAAGACUAGAAAAUUAUUUUGUUUAGUGUCAAAGAGACUUAGUCUCAUUUUUUACUUCCAAAGUGAGUAAAGUUUAAAUCAUGUAUAUAAUUUUCCUAAUUUUGACUUUUCAUCACAUGGAAAAUUUGAUAAGCUAUCUGCCGAUUUAAGAUUCGCCCAAAUCCGAUACCCG